CAUAUUCAUCUAAUAGUAGUGGGAAUGUGAACAAGUUAGCAGACACUUCUCAUCUACUCAGUCAGAGACCUAGGUUAACAGAGGUUCUACUACAUAUAGGCUUACAAGAAGGCCUUGUUGUUGUUGUUUUUUUUCCUUUUAGGUAUUCCAUAGGGGAAAAAAGCAGAGCUGAGAAUGCACAGAAAUUUUCAUGUGCCAAGUUUGGAAGUGGGUGUUAACUCCUCAACACCACGUGUUUGUAUCAUCAACCAUCUUCAGCAGCUUCUCAGAAGUUAACACCAAUACUGUCUGGUGUAUUUCACCU
rnacentral:lncRNA from 1 species